UGGUUUUCCGCACACCUUCAUGUGAAGUUUGCAGCCUUGAUGCAGCAUCAGGCCAAGGAUAAAGAACAGACGGCCAAAGCAACAAAAUUUUUAGCCUUGGACAAAUGCUUACCACAUAGAGACUUUCUUCAGGUAAUAGAAAUAGAACAUGACACCCAGUGCUUCUGAGUACUUAGAGUAUGAUAUUGAGUGGCUCACUGUUCUAAGGGCUACUGAUGAUCUUAUUAAUGUGACGGGGCGCCUAUGGAAUAUGCCCUGAAAAUAACGGCCUGCAUACAAGGUAAGGUCUGACAUUUAGGGGUUUGCUCUCUCUGGUGCAUGCACGAUUUUUUGUCCCCUCCACCUUUUUUUUUUUUUUCUUAAAUCAGGGAAUUAUUGUUAAUGAGUGUCAGAAUAAUUCAAGGGUUACUGACUGGUAUGGAAAACUACAAAUUUUCCAUCUAAGGGAUGUAAGAAAAUGGGCUAUUGAGUACCCAACCCAAAUUAGCACAUAAAGCGUGUGUAAAACUAUAAUGUGGUGAUGAUUUGGUUCACACAUUAAAGUAAAUAAUGCUUAUUUUAGAGUGUUGAGUUAAGAACAGCUUUUUUCUUUUUCUUUUUUUAAAAUUUUAUUUAUUUAUUUUGAGAGAGAGAGAGAGAGAGACCGCAAGUGAGAAUGGGGUAGGGGCAGAGAGAAGAAGAGUGAGAGAAUCCCAAGCU
rnacentral:lncRNA from 1 species